rnacentral:rRNA from 1 species
GGCCUCAAAUAAUGUGUGACUACCCCCUAAAUUUAAGCGUGGUACCCGC